GGUGUUGACGGGUAACGGGGAAUUAGGGUUCGAUUCCGGAGAGGGAGCCUGAGAGACGGCUACCACUUCUAAGGAAGGCAGCAGGCGCGCAAAUUACCCACUGGCCGAAGGCCGAGGUAGUGACGAAAAAUAACGAUACCGGACUCAUCCGAGGCCCGGUAAUCGGAAUGAGUACACUUUAAAUCCUUUAACGAGGAACCAUUGGAGGGCAAGUCUGGUGCCAGCAGCCGCGGUAAUUCCAGCUCCAAUAGCGUAUAUUAAAGUUGUUGCGGUUAAAAAGCUCGUAGUUGGAUCUCAGCAGGCAGGGGGCGGUGCGUUUUUUGACGCGACUGCCUGUUUUGCCUGCGACUUUUCUCGGUGGAGUCGACCGGGUGCUCUUUAUUGAGUGUCCGUUUUGUCGGGCCACCAGGUUUACUUUGAAAAAAUUAGAGUGCUCCAAGCAGGCCGCAUACGCCUGAAUACUCGUGCAUGGAAUA
rnacentral:rRNA from 1 species